UACGGAGGGUGCAAGCGUUGUCCGGAAUCACUGGGCGUAAAGGGCGCGUAGGCGGCGCGCUAAGCGUGUGGUGAAAGCCUGGGGCUCAACCCCGGGUCGGCCAUGCGAACUGUCGGGCUCGAGCACUGUAGAGGCAGGCGGAAUUCCGGGUGUAGCGGUGGAAUGCGUAGAGAUCCGGAAGAACACCGGUGGCGAAGGCGGCCUGCUGGGCAGUAGCUGACGCUGAGGCGCGACAGCGUGGGGAGCAAACAGG
rnacentral:rRNA from 1 species